UGGGGAAUAUUGCACAAUGGGCGAAAGCCUGAUGCAGCGACGCCGCGUGCGGGAUGAAGGCCUUCGGGUUGUAAACCGCUUUUGAUUGGGAGCAAGCGAGAGUGAGUGUACCUUUCGAAUAAGCACCGGCUAACUACGUGCCAGCAGCCGCGGUAAUACGUAGGGUGCAAGCGUUAUCCGGAAUUAUUGGGCGUAAAGAGCUCGUAGGCGGUUUGUCGCGUCUGGUGUGAAAGUCCAUCGCUUAACGGUGGAUCUGCGCCGGGUACGGGCAGGCUAGAGUGCGACAGGGGAGACUGGAAUUCCCGGUGUAACGGUGGAAUGUGUAGAUAUCGGGAAGAACACCAAUGGCGAAGGCAGGUCUCUGGGUCGUCACUGACGCUGAGGAGCGAAAGCGUGGGGAGCGAACAGGAUUAGAUACCCUGGUAGUCCACGCCGUAAACGGUGGAUGCUGGAUGUGGGGCCCCAUUCCACGGGUUCCGUGUCGGAGCUAACGCGUUAAGCAUCCCGCCUGGGGAGUACGGCCGCAAGGCUAAA
rnacentral:rRNA from 1 species